GGUUGCGAUCAUACCAGCACUAAUGCACCAGAUCCAAUCAGAACUUCGCAGUUAUGCGUGCUUGGGCAAGAGUAGUACUAGGAUGGGUGACCCCCUGGGAAGUCCCCGUGUUGCAACCC
rnacentral:rRNA from 1 species